UAACCUAUUAAACUGAUUUCGAUCUAUUUAACAAUUGGGUCAGGUUAUGACUUGACCCAUUUAAUAUUUUUAAAAUAUGUUUAACAUAUUUGUGAUCUAUUUAACCUGACCCACUUAAUCUAUUUAACCCAUUUAAUAUGACUUGAUUUGUUUAAUAAAUGGAUUAUAUGGAUCGAGUUAAGCCUUCAGAAUAUUAAAAGUCUUAUUAAGUUUCAUAAACUUAUAGGCAUC
rnacentral:lncRNA from 1 species